UUGUUUACUUUAUUAAAGUGGUACAUUCAUUGACUUGUAGGGUCUAAUAAAAAGGUAUACGGUGCACAGGGUGGGUGGAAUGAAGGUCGAGCCACAAUUAAGUGCGCUCUUGUUCUUCAAUAAUGAUCCUUCCGCAGGUUCACCUACGAAAA
rnacentral:misc_RNA from 1 species